AUUUAAAUGGCUGCAGUAUUUUGACUGUACAAAGGUAGCAUAAUCAUUUGUCUUUUAAUUGAAGGCUGGUAUGAAUGGUUGGAUGAGAAAUAUACUUUCUUUAUUUUAUAUAAAAAAAUUAAUUUUUUAGUCAAAAAGCUAAAAUAUAUUUGUAGGACGAGAAGACCCUAUAGAGCUUUAUUUUCUUUUUAUAUAAAUUUUUUAGGUUUUUAUAAGAUUAUAUAUUAAUGUUAAUUUUGUUGGGGUGAUGGAAAAAAUAAUAUAACUUUUUCUAUUUUAUACAUUUAUUUAUGUUUUUUUGAUCCUUUAUUAUGGAUAAUAAGAUUAAGUUACCUUAGGGAUAACAGCGUUAUUUUCUUGGAGAGUUCUUAUUGAUAAGAAAGUUUGCGACCUCGAUGUUGGAUUAAAAUAAGUGACAGGGGCAAAAUAU
rnacentral:rRNA from 1 species